AUUCCCUUGCAUGAGUACAAGGUCCCUUUUAGCUUGAUCUAGGCUUAAUACUCUAUUAUAGCAUGAAAUCCCUUAUUUUCCACCCGGAUGAACAGUAAUCCGGACCGACAGCCGGUUACUUCAUCCCGAGUUUGAUCCACUUUCAGGACUCCAAAUUUGAUGAAAUUUUUACCUAACAUUCUACACUCAUAGAGGAUUCCAAAAGAUAACAUGCAUCAUCAUCGGAGGCCGUUUGACCCCCUAAAUAAUUCGCCGAAAUUGAAACUUCGACACAGUUUUUCCGUAGUGCCGGAAAAAUUUGUCGAAAUCCGAUUCUUCCUCUUUUAACCACCUCUACAACCCUUAUCUGACCCCUCUAGACUACAUCCACCCUUUGUAUAGCCUAAUAUCAUCAAAAGACUAGGUAGGGAUGGAUAUUUACCUUUUUCUUUUUGGAAAUCGAGGUCCUUGCGUAGAGGAGAAGGAGAUCUACGUUUUUCCC
rnacentral:lncRNA from 1 species